rnacentral:rRNA from 1 species
AUUGAACGCUGGCGGCAUGCCUUACACAUGCAAGUCGAACGGCAGCGCGGGGGCAACCCUGGCGGCGAGUGGCGAACGGGUGAGUAAUAUAUCGGAACGUACCCAAGAGUGGGGGAUAACGUAGCGAAAGUUACGCUAAUACCGCAUACGAUCUAAGGAUGAAAGUGGGGGACCGCAAGGCCUCACGCUCCUGGAGCGGCCGAUAUCUGAUUAGCUAGUUGGUGGGGUAAAGGCCUACCAAGGCAUCGAUCAGUAGCUGGCCUGAGAGGACGACCAGCCACACUGGGACUGAGACACGGCCCAGACUCCUACGGGAGGCAGCAGUGGGGAAUUUUGGACAAUGGGGGGCAACCCUGAUCCAGCAAUGCCGCGUGAGUGAAGAAGGCCUUC